rnacentral:rRNA from 1 species
CCUACGGGAGGCAGCAGUGAGGAAUAUUGGUCAAUGGACGAGAGUCUGAACCAGCCAAGUAGCGUGAAGGAUGACUGCCCUAUGGGUUGUAAACUUCUUUUAUAUGGGAAUAAAACAGGGCAUGCAUACCUUUUUGUAUGUACUAUAUGAAUAAGGAUCGGCUAACUCCGUGCCAGCAGCCGCGGUAAUACGGAGGAUCCGAGCGUUAUCCGGAUUUAUUGGGUUUAAAGGGAGCGUAGGUGGGUUGUUAAGUCAGUUGUGAAAGUUUGCGGCUCAACCGUAAAAUUGCAGUUGAAACUGGCAGUCUUGAGUACAGUAGAGGUGAGCGGAAUUCGUGGUGUAGCGGUGAAAUGCUUAGAUAUCACGAAGAACUCCGAUUGCGAAGGCAGCUCACUAAACUGCAACUGACACUGAUGCUCGAAAGUGUGGGUAUCAAACAGGAUUAGAUACCCCUGUAGUC